rnacentral:rRNA from 1 species
AUUGAACGCUGGCGGAAUGCUUUACACAUGCAAGUCGAACGGCAGCACGGACUUCGGUCUGGUGGCGAGUGGCGAACGGGUGAGUAAUAUAUCGGAACGUGCCCAGUCGUGGGGGAUAACGUAGUGAAAAUUACGCUAAUACCGCAUACGAUCUAAGGAUGAAAGCGGGGGAUCGCAAGACCUCGCGCGAUUGGAGCGGCCGAUAUCAGAUUAGGUAGUUGGUAGGGUAAAGGCCUACCAAGCCAACGAUCUGUAGCUGGUCUGAGAGGACGGCCAGCCAGACUGGAACUGAGACGCGGUCCAGAGUCCUACGGGCGGCAGCAGUGGGGAAUUUUGGACAAUGGGCGCAAGCCUGAUCCAGCCAUUCCGCGUGCAGGAUGAAGGCCCUCGGGUUGUAAACUGCUUUUGUACAGAACGAAAAGGUUUCUACUAAUACUAGGAGCUCAUGACGGUACUGUAAGAAUAAGCACCGGCUAACUACGUGCCAGCCGCCGCAGUAA